rnacentral:rRNA from 1 species
AUUGAACGCUGGCGGCAUGCUUUACACAUGCAAGUCGAACGGCAGCGGGGGCUUCGGCCUGCCGGCGAGUGGCGAACGGGUGAGUAAUGCAUCGGAACGUGCCCAGUCAUGGGGGAUAACUACGCGAAAGCGUAGCUAAUACCGCAUACGCCCUGAGGGGGAAAGCGGGGGAUCGCAAGACCUCGCGUGAUUGGAGCGGCCGAUGUCGGAUUAGCUAGUUGGUGGGUAAAGGCCUACCAAGGCGACGAUCCGUAGCGGGUCUGAGAGGAUGAUCCGCCACACUGGGACUGAGACACGGCCCAGACUCCUACGGGAGGCAGCAGUGGGGAAUUUUGGACAAUGGGGGGCAACCCUGAUCCAGCCAUGCCGCGUGAGUGAAGAAGGCCUCGGUUGUAAG